AGAAUCAACGCUGGCGGCGUGCCUCAGACAUGCAAGUCGAACGCGAAAGUCCCCUUCGGGGGCGAAGUAGAGUGGCGCACGGGUGAGUAACACGUAGGUAAUCUACCUUUGGAUGGGGAAUAACAACCGGAAACGGUUGCUAAUACCGCAUAAUGCAGCGGCACCUAAUGGUGACAGUUGUUAAAGCGGGGAGUCGAAAGACCUCGCGUCUAAAGAGGAGCCUGCGGCGGAUUAGCUAGUUGGUAAGGUAAUGGCUUACCAAGGCUACGAUCC
rnacentral:rRNA from 1 species